AGGGAAGGGGCGGAUGUAGCCAAGUGGAUCAAGGCAGUGGAUUGUGAAAUCCACCAUGCGCGA
rnacentral:tRNA from 1 species